GAAGAACUACUUGAGUGUGCUUAGUUCUGCUCUUCCUGCUCUCCACUUUUGGCCUGAUCUUGUCAACAAGAAACUUCUAUUUUCUGACAGACAGCUCCUCGCAAGGGAACUUCGAGUUUCCUGUUUUUCCUGUCGUGGGAUGAAGCAUUAACAAGAUCAGUAUAUCACAGAUAUUACUACCCCCACUUCAUAAAUGAAGAAACUGUAACCCAAAGAGAAAUCACCAACAUUAAGACUGCUAAACAAAUGAGAUGCUGGAUCCGAGUUUAUUUGACUACUACUAUCAACAGCAGGUUAAAUCAGAUUUGAGGACAAUGAAGGGUUAAUGAAAUGAUCUUGGUGUAAUUACUCAUUAUAAAACAUCUCCGUCUUGGUUGAGGCCUUACUUGGAAAAAAAAAAAGUCUCCUGGUGCAGCAGCAACAAAGGAAGCUGAUAAAGGAAGGGAGAGCUGCCUAUUCUUUACAAAAAGCAUUUAUAUAACUCAAGCUGUUAAAAUCAUGCAUAGAAAUGCCAAGGUUUUGAGGUUUUGCCUCCCUCCGGUGUGGAAGCAUGGCGUUGAAAAGUGGAAUAGGAAGGUCCAUAGCCUCUGACAGGGCUUGGUAGAUUACUAGGUGAGUCAAUAUGAUUCUUUUCCUGGAGUUUGUGUUAGGAAAUCUGGAAGGAAAUCAUCAAAUUGUUAACAGAAAAGUAAGUGGACAG
rnacentral:lncRNA from 1 species